GAUGAAGAACGUAGCGAAAUGCGAUAAGUAGUGUGAAUUUCAGAAUUCAGUGAAUCAUCGAAUCUUUGAACGCACAUUGCGCCCUUUGGUAUUCCUUAGGGCAUGCCUGUUCGAGCGUCAUUUAAACCUUCAAGCUCAGCUUGGUGUUGGGUGACUGUCCGCUUCACCGCGGACUCGCCUCAAAAUUAUUGGCGGCCGGUACAUUGGCUUCGAGCGCAGCAGAAACGCGAACUCGGGCCCGUCGUAUUGGCUCCCAGAAGCUAUCUUCACAAUUUUGACCUCGGAUCAGGUAGGGAUACCCGCUGAACUUAAGCAUAUCAAUAAGCGGAGGA
rnacentral:misc_RNA from 1 species